GUAGCUCAGUGGUAGAGUGCUUGCCUUGCAUGCAUGAGGUCCUGGGUUCGAUUCUUCAGC
rfam:Dipodomys ordii contig_39858, whole genome shotgun sequence.